GCAGUCGACGAACUCUUCGGAGUUAGUGGCGGACGGGUGAGUAACACGUGGGAACGUGCCUUUUGGUUCGGAAUAGCUCCUGGAAACGGGUGGUAAUGCCGAAUGUGCCCUUCGGGGGAAAGAUUUAUCGCCAUUAGAGCGGCCCGCGUCUGAUUAGCUUGUUGGUGAGGUAAUGGCUCACCAAGGCUACGAUCAGUAGCUGGUCUGAGAGGAUGACCAGCCACAUUGGGACUGAGACACGGCCCAAACUCCUACGGGAGGCAGCAGUGGGGAAUCUUGCGCAAUGGGCGAAAGCCUGACGCAGCCAUGCCGCGUGUAUGAUGAAGGUCUUAGGAUUGUAAAAUACUUUCACCGGUGAAGAUAAUGACUGUAGCCGGAGAAGAAGCCCCGGCUAACUUCGUGCCAGCAGCCGCGGUAAUACGAAGGGGGCUAGCGUUGCUCGGAAUUACUGGGCGUAAAGGGAGCGUAGGCGGACAUUUAAGUCAGAGGUGAAAUCCCGGAGCUUAACUUCGGAACUGCCUUUGAUACUGGGUGUCUUGAGUGUGAGAGAGGUAUGUGGAACUCCGAGUGUAGAGGUGAAAUUCGUAGAUAUUCGGAAGAACACCAGUGGCGAAGGCGACAUACUGGCUCAUUACUGACGCUGAGGCUCGAAAGCGUGGGGAGCAAACA
rnacentral:rRNA from 1 species